GCCAGAGAGGGCAUCAGAUCCCAUUGUAGAUGAUUGUGAGCCACCAUGUGGCCACUGGGAAUUGAACUCAGGACUUCUGGAAGAGCAGCCAGUGCUCUUAACCUCUAAGGUAUCUCUCCAGCCCCUUCUUCAUGUAUCUUAUUUUUAAAAUGGUACCUAAAGAGAAAAAAAAAAGAAAAAGAAAAAAAGAAAAAAAAAAAAAAAAACAAGGUGUUGGAUAGAUGUCUCCAUGGUUAGCAGUACUUGCUGUACAAGCAUGAGGACAUUAGAUUGGAUCCCACAACCAUGUAAAAUGUCACGUGUGGCAAGUUUGUGACCCAGUGCAGACCUGGGGUUUGCUGGCUCUCAGUCUAGCUCCUGGUUUAAUGAGAGAUUUGAGUUUAGAAGGACUAAGGUAGACUUUGACAAAGACAUGUGAUGUCCUGUGUACUACACAAAGCAUGUGCACCUACAUACACAUGUGCAUAUACUGCAAAACGUUUACUAUAUUCUCAUUAUACAUACAUGAACAUACAUGCAAAAUAAUAAUGAAUGUUGAAAACCAAAACCUCAAACUAUACUGUUAGAGAUUCAGAAAGAUCAUUGAUAGCCUUUUAAUGUAUGUCGUUAUUAAUGGAAAAUUUAUAUUUCACCUAUUAAUGACAAAAAAGAUAGAAAAAGAAAAUUACAGAGCUUGUUUAUAAAAUUACAUAAAUUCAUUGGGUGUUGGAUAUUUUGCUUUUUAUUUUGAGUCUGAUAGACUCAAUUUAAAAACAUUACUACAGAAGAUAUUAAGUGGAUAUUUGAAUUAAAGGAGGAAAAAUACUGCAUUUUUAGUAUACAGUCUUUUCAUUGCUAAUCAAUAUAGAAUGGGCAAGGGUCCUGUGCUAGAGAUUUUGUUGAUAUGGCAGUUCUUUUCGUGAAAUAAUAUUCAUUUGGCACAAUGAGGGGCAUAUUAAAUCAAAUUCAGAAUUAGGUAUAGGGAAAAAUGUGUAUGUUAUAAAGAUGGAAGUUCUAAAACAUCAGUGGUUAUGCUAUGGCUUUGAUAUUAGUGGUAGAACUAAAAACAUCAAAUUUACUCAUCUUCUGUCAGUUUCAUAUAUGGGGACUAUGUUGUUUCUUGGGCAUAUAUAAUGGUGUUUAAAACAUAAUUUCAAUCUUCAUCUUUUUGCUUUUUUUCCCCUGUACUACCUCAUUGACUAAGGAAUUGGCAAAUUGUCAACUGCUGAUGGUAAAGCUUUUGCAGAUCCUGAAGUACUCCGGAGACUGACAUCCUCAGUUAGCUGUGCCCUGGAUGAAGCCGCUGCUGCACUGACACGGAUGAGAGCAGAGAACACACACAGUACAGGACAAGUGGAUACGUAUGUGUUCAAUAGUUCGCUAGUAUUAAAUGUUUUCUUGAAAACCAUACACCAAAUGGUUAUUUGAAAGGAUGUUAAAGUGGAUAUAUGAAUCUAUAUAUACUAUACAAAUACAAAUAUAUAUACUCUUUGUUGUUGUUUUGGUUUUGGGCUUUUGAGACCGUCUACAUAGCCCUGGCUGUCCUGGAACUCACCAUAGACCAGGAUAGCCUCAAAUUCAGAGCUCUGUUUGCCUCUGCUGGAAUUAUACUUGUAUGCUCACUACAUGUGCCCCCCUCCCAGCUCUUCCCAAAAUACUGCAUUGACCAGGAAAUGUUUGUUUUGUUUUUUGAGACAGGGCCUCACUAUGUAGUUUAUUAGGGUCUCACCUGGCUAGUCUGGAAUGCUUUACAUAUUCUAGAACAUCCCAAAUAGACCAGGCUAGACUCAAAUUCACAGAGAUCUACCUGUCUCUCCCUCCUGAGUGGUGGGAUUAAAGAUGUGUGGCACCAUAUUGGGUACUAGUUUUAUUUUUCAGACAGGAUCUCACUCUGUAGCCUAGGCAGCCCUUGAGUUCUCGGGAGUCCUGCCUCAGCUUCCUUGAGUGCUGCUGAUAAGUGUGAGUCAUCAUGCCUGACUUUGUAUUCAUUUUCUAGUAAACAUUUUUUGCAGUGUUUGUAUUACAGUAUAUAAGAAAUUUAAACUGAAUAAGACCUAAUUUCUAUUUCAAAAUAAGCUACAUAGUCUGAAGGUUACAGUUAAGUCUAACCUGACUACUUAAGUAGUGAUAAGUGGAAUGGAUUAUGUACUCAAUAAUCUAGUUGCUGGUUAUUUAAAUAUUGCCUGUAGAAUAUGAGUUUGACAUCAGAGCUUGUUUGAAGUGAAUAGUCUCAGGCUAUGUGUGGUGGCAUAUGUUUCUAAUACUUAGUAUUCUUGAGGUAGUAGAGGCCAGAGGAUUGGCAGUUUGAGGCUAGCCAUGGCUACAUAAUAAAUUUGAACUCAACCUGAACUGUAUGAGAGAGCCUUUUGCAAAAGAACUUUAAGUUAAAAAAGAAAGAAGGUUGUACUGUAACCCAGAUGUAUUGAUUCAGAUCUGCAUUUUAAUAAUAGACAAUAUGUAUAGACUCAUGGAUUUAAGUUAGGCAUGCUGAUGUACCUGAAAUGGGAUGAUUGAUAUGAGUUCAAGGCCAUCCUAGGCUUUGUAGUAAGUCUGAAGACUGCCUAGACUUUAGUAUAAGACUCCAUC
rnacentral:lncRNA from 1 species